GAUCCGGUGGCCUAGUUGUUAGAGCAUCCGCCUUGGAUGUGGGAGGUUAUGGGUUCAAAUCCUGAGUGAGUCA